CCUCGGGUGGCAGCAGUGGGGAAUAUUGCACAAUGGGGGAAACCCUGAUGCAGCGACGCCGCGUGAGUGAAGAAGUAAUUCGUUACGUAAAGCUCUAUCAGCAGGGAAGAAAAUGACGGUACCUGGACAAGAAGCCCCGGCUAACUACGUGCCAGCAGCCGCGGUAAUACGUAGGGGGCAAGCGUUAUCCGGAUUUACUGGGUGUAAAGGGAGCGCAGGCGGCGUGGCAAGUCAGAUGUGAAAACCCGGGGCCCAACCCCGGGAGUGCAUUUGAAACUGCCAUGCUGGAGUGCCGGAGAGGUAAGCGGAAUUCCUAGUGUAGCGGUGAAAUGCGUAGAUAUUAGGAGGAACACCAGUGGCGGAGGCGGCUUACUGGACGGUAACUGACGCUGAGGCUCGAAAGCGUGGGGAGCAAACAGGAUUAGAUACCCUUGUAGUC
rnacentral:rRNA from 1 species